GUUAAGCGACUAAGCGUACACGGUGGAUGCCCUGGCAGUCAGAGGCGAUGAAGGACGUGCUAAUCUGCGAUAAGCGUCGGUAAGGUGAUAUGAACCGUUAUAACCGGCGAUUUCCGAAUGGGGAAACCCAGUGUGUUUCGACACACUAUCAUUAACUGAAUCCAUAGGUUAAUGAGGCGAACCGGGGGAACUGAAACAUCUAAGUACCCCGAGGAAAAGAAAUCAACCGAGAUUCCCCCAGUAGCGGCGAGCGAACGGGGAGCAGCCCAGAGUCUGAAUCAGUGUGUGUGUUAGUGGAAGCGUCUGGAAAGGCGCGCGAUACAGGGUGACAGCCCCGUACACAAAAAUGCACAUGCUGUGAGCUCGAUGAGUAGGGCGGGACACGUGGUAUCCUGUCUGAAUAUGGGGGGACCAUCCUCCAAGGCUAAAUACUCCUGACUGACCGAUAGUGAACCAGUACCGUGAGGGAAAGGCGAAAAGAACCCCGGCGAGGGGAGUGAAAAAGAACCUGAAACCGUGUACGUACAAGCAGUGGGAGCCUCUUUAUGGGGUGACUGCGUACCUUUUGUAUAAUGGGUCAGCGACUUAUAUUCUGUAGCAAGGUUAACCGAAUAGGGGAGCCGAAGGGAAACCGAGUCUUAACUGGGCGUUAAGUUGCAGGGUAUAGACCCGAAACCCGGUGAUCUAGCCAUGGGCAGGUUGAAGGUUGGGUAACACUAACUGGAGGACCGAACCGACUAAUGUUGAAAAAUUAGCGGAUGACUUGUGGCUGGGGGUGAAAGGCCAAUCAAACCGGGAGAUAGCUGGUUCUCCCCGAAAGCUAUUUAGGUAGCGCCUCGUGAAUUCAUCUCCGGGGGUAGAGCACUGUUUCGGCAAGGGGGUCAUCCCGACUUACCAACCCGAUGCAAACUGCGAAUACCGGAGAAUGUUAUCACGGGAGACACACGGCGGGUGCUAACGUCCGUCGUGAAGAGGGAAACAACCCAGACCGCCAGCUAAGGUCCCAAAGUCAUGGUUAAGUGGGAAACGAUGUGGGAAGGCCCAGACAGCCAGGAUGUUGGCUUAGAAGCAGCCAUCAUUUAAAGAAAGCGUAAUAGCUCACUGGUCGAGUCGGCCUGCGCGGAAGAUGUAACGGGGCUAAACCAUG
rnacentral:rRNA from 1 species